rnacentral:rRNA from 1 species
AAUAGAUACCCAGCUAGUCCACGCCGUAAACGGUGGGUACUAGGUGUGGGUUUCCUUCCUUGGGAUCCGUGCCGUAGCUAACGCAUUAAGUACCCCGCCUGGGGAGUACGGCCGCAAGGCUAAAACUCAAAGGAAUUGACGGGGGGCCCGCACAAGCGGCGGAGCAUGUGGAUUAAUUCGAUGCAACGCGAAGAACCCUACCUGGGUUUGACAUGCACAGGACGCCGGCAGAGAUGUCGGUUCCCUUGUGGCCUGUGUGCAGGUGGUGCAUGGCUGUCGUCAGCUCGUGUCGUGAGAUGUUGGGUUAAGUCCCGCAACGAGCGCAACCCUUGUCCUAUGUUGCCAGCGGGUUAUGCCGGGGACUCGUAGGAGACUGCCGGGGUCAACUCGGAGGAAGGUGGGGAUGACGUCAAGUCAUCAUGCCCCUUAUGUCCAGGGCUUCACACAUGCUACAAUGGCCGGUACAAAGGGCUGCGAUGCCGUGAGGUGGAGCGAAUCCUUGGUAAAGCCGGUCUCAGUUCGGAUCGGGGU